rnacentral:rRNA from 1 species
GAUCAUGGCUCAGGAUGAACGCUAGCUACAGGCUUAACACAUGCAAGUCGAGGGGAAACGACAUCGAAAGCUUGCUUUUGAUGGGCGUCUACCGGCGCACGGGUAAGUAACGCGUAUCCAACCUGCCCACCACUUGGGGAUAACCUUGCGAAAGUAAGACUAAUACCCAAUGACAUCCCACGAAGACAUCUGAAUGGGAUUAAAGAUUUAUCGGUGAUGGAUGGGGAUGCGUCUGAUUAG